GACGAACGCUGGCGGCGUGCUUAACACAUGCAAGUCGAACGGAAAGGCCCCGCUUUUGUGGGGUGCUCGAGUGGCGAACGGGUGAGUAACACGUGAGUAACCUGCCCUUGACUUUGGGAUAACUUCAGGAAACUGGGGCUAAUACCGGAUAGGAGCUCCUGCUGCAUGGUGGGGGUUGGAAAGUUUCGGCGGUUGGGGAUGGACUCGCGGCUUAUCAGCUUGUUGGUGGGGUAGUGGCUUACCAAGGCUUUGACGGGUAGCCGGCCUGAGAGGGUGACCGGCCACAUUGGGACUGAGAAACGGCCCAGACUCCUACGGGAGGCAGCAGUGGGGAAUAUUGCACGAUGGGCGGAAGCCUGAUGCAGCAACGCCGCGUGCGGGAUGACGGCCUUCGGGUUGUAAACCGCUUUCGCCUGUGACGAAGCGUGAGUGACGGUAAUGGGUAAAGAAGCACCGGCUAACUACGUG
rnacentral:rRNA from 1 species